GUCAUUGUUUGGCUUCUUGAAAUUGGCCUACGUUCUUAGUCACCGAGCUCUGAGUGAUCCCUUUGGAAGGGAGUGACAAGUUGACCGUCACCAACUUCCUGGUUACCACUGUUCGUUGCGGUAAUUGCUUUACUUUGCAGUAGCCUGUGUGAAAUAAUAUUCAAGCCCUUCCAAGGGUCGUCGACCUUAAUCUGCAGAACAUUUUUAUGUUCAGACUAGGCGGUGAGGCUGAUCCACAAACUGCUGGAUGGACUUUUGACGAGAGUUUAAACCUGUAGAGAAGUUGCUGGAUGUUGUGACUUCACAGCAACCGUGUCACCGAAGCAUCAUUCUCUGGGAAGAUGAAAGGGGAGAGUGUGUGCUGUGCCUGGGAAGACUCAGCGACGGAUAAUGGCCUCAGCGAUGAAGAGGACUUUCACAAGAUUCAAAGGAACGGACUGGCAAUCAAUCAGACAUGCCGAUGUUUGGACGUGAGGAACAUCAUUGUGUCGCCUCAUUUAAUAUCCGACCAGUGGCCCAAUUGCCUCAGUGUUGGACCGAGGAGAGGUAAGGGAAGCGGGGGAGCGGUGGAAUGGACGGGGAGAGAGAGCAGGAGGCUCCUUCCAGCUCUAGAUAUGUCCUCUCUCCAGAGUCCUCUCCCAGAAAGACCCCAAGGACAUCUCCCCUCUGUCCCCCGCUGUGAAAGACUCGCAAGGAUCAGCUCCGACUGUGCUCAAGCGCCUUCCCGGACGUCCCGCGAUUCUACGCCUCCGAAGGGAAACGUUGCUCCAAGGCCCAAGCGUGUAUCUGCAGACGUGAGCUCUGGGAAGAGGACGUUGCCCCUGAUUCACUGGAGCCCAUCCUCGUCAUGGCUCCAGUCAGAAGAGGAUGACCCAGUACCAUGGAGGUGCAGGGCCCUGGGCAGCCGCACAACCCAGACCCGCCACCUCAGGACCGGGGACACAGAACAACAGAGCCGGGGGAUGGAUACAGUAUAGCUCCACAGAAUGCGGAUGGACCCAAAACCGCAGAACGUGGUCCAGACUGAACCAUGACUUGAAGCUCUUAUCCAACCCACAGAGCCACCAGCAAAGACCACAGAGAAAAAUGAUCCCCACAUUCACAUCAACAACAAGGUGCUAGACUAGUGGCGGUGGUGUGUUUCGUGGUAUGAAGGGUGCUGGCCAUGUGGUCAGGUAGACAGGUCAAAGGGCAUCAGGAUUUCAGACUGGGCAAGGGUAACCAAGGUCUGGUGAGAAAUGGAAAAAUAUGCAGGGCUCCUGCAACCAGUUGCUUUUGCAUGCAGAAGCACCCCAUUGUCGAGAAAUUGCGGCUGCCGUUCGCAAUAACACGAAAAGGAGCUGAGUAAAAGUGCAAAUGAGCUAUCGUGACCACUUUCUGGUCCAUUUUGGCGCCUGCGAUUGUGAAUGUCUCAUCUUGCCGUGAUCACACUGGCAGACAGAGAGACAGGUCAGCUCGACUAAGUGUGCCUGUGUGUGUGUGCCUGCCAUUUAUCUCAACGAUGCCUCCCGCUAGCGCUCGCUCACUCCCCCCAUUCAUCUCCUGACUGGAGAACGAACGUGCCGAGGUGUUCUUCGUGCAGCAGCAAGAGAAGAUCUCCAGAGGAACAUUUCAAAACAAGUAGUCAUUUGCAUAAUGAUUGCACUUUGAAUGGCGUUGCGGAGGCUCCGUGCACAAAGGACAAUAUGAAGCCGUUCAUUUGAUGCCCGUUGCGUUGAACAAUCCCCGAAGGCACCCCCCCCCCCCAAAAAAAAAAAUA